UACGUAGGGUGCAAGCGUUGUCCGGAAUCAUUGGGCGUAAAGGGCGUGUAGGCGGCUCGAUUAGUCCGCUGUAAAAGUCCAGGGCUCAACCCUGGGAUGCCGGUGGAAACUGUCGGGCUAGAGUCCGGGAGAGGCGAGUGGAAUUCCUGGUGUAGCGGUGAAAUGCGCAGAUAUCAGGAGGAACACCAAUGGCGAAGGCAGCUCGCUGGAACGGUACUGACGCUGAGACGCGAAAGCGUGGGGAGCAAACAGGAUAGAAACCCAGUACGCCAGA
rnacentral:rRNA from 1 species